rnacentral:lncRNA from 1 species
UGCUUAGCAAGGGAGCCAGAAGUAACACAUUGACCUUAAAUGGUAAAAGCUCCCAGAGUAAGCAGAAGGGAGAGAGAGAGAGAGAGACAGGGAGAGAGGCUUUCCUGAAGGGGGAAAACAAGAGGAAUAGCUCUCAGUUUUAGGUAAGUAAUCUCCAUACACCAAGAAUAAACAGCUUUCUUCAGCUAAAUCCAAAACGGAACCAUUUUCCUUCUUAAAGGAGACUGCUGCUUGUUCUGAGUCAACACUUGUGUUGCCAGUUUACUUUCCCUUCUUAUCUUCUGAAGCUCCAUAUCCUUUUGAUAAUGAUAAUUCCCAGCUUCAGGCAUCACUCACAGAUGAACUGAAUUUAGAACAUUUUUCACCUCCAAAGAAAUGUUUGACAUUUCCUAAUCUGUUUUUCCUGGACCAGAGAGAGGGAUUUCAAAAAAAUCUCUUAAACAAGAAAAGUCAUGCCUAUAAAACAGAACACGGGCAAAGGAACAAAAGAACAAGUGAAACCAAGGAGGAGGCUAGUAGUGAAGAUGAAGUAAAACACCUCCAUGCAAAGCGCUUGCCAAGGUAUCCCAGUCUGACCCAGAGGUCUUGGGAUCACAAGGCCCCACAGUGCUUAUCUUCAGAGGUUAACUUGAAACACGCAUUUCCAUCAGUGCAUGGUCUCUACAGUCCACGUUGCACUA